UGUAAGCGUAUACCAAAGUUGUUGCAGUUAAAACGCUCGUAGUCGGAAUUUGGCAGUUCCGGAAGUGUGCACGUCGUGUGCGCACUUUGCGGGGACUGCUUUUGUGGUCUUGCGUAGGAUGAGGCACUUUCAUUAGUGAACGUCCUCACGCAACCACUCUUUACUGCGAGAAAAUCAGAGUGCUCAAAGCAGGCAUUUGCCGUGAAUGUAUUAGCAUGGAAUAAUAGAAUAGGACUCGGUUCUAUUUUGUUGGUUUGUUGGGACUGAGUAAUGAUUAAGAGGGACAGUUGGGGGCAUUUGUAUUCCGGCGCUAGAGGUGAAAUUCUUAGAUUGCCGGAAGACAAACUGCUGCGAAAGCGUCUGCCAAGGAUGUUUUCAUUGA
rnacentral:rRNA from 1 species